GGGCCCCUGAUUUAAUUAUUUAACAUGGAACCAUUGUCCUGAGUCAGGAGCAUAGAUGAGGAGAAAGAAUGAGUGUGUCUGUGUUGCUUCAUGAUUGCAUUCUGGGGAAGAUCUUGCCUGUUAACUGCCAGAGAAGGAAGGAAGAUGCCGAUAACCAGUGGUGCCAGUUUUCUUUAAACAUCGGGCCUUGCUUGCAAGCUCUACAGUUACGCCCAGUAUUUACAUGGCACCCAAAGACAUUCCCUGCUGCCCUAUCCCCAUGUGUAACAAGCUUGUAAACUGAUCUGCGUCACCUAUGUGUUUGGAUCACGGAGUCCAUGUCUAACCUAGGGUCUUGCGUGUGCAGUAGGCUAUAAGGGACUCACUCAGUAUCCAAUGGUACAGGUUCGAAGAGUUUCUAAUGGGGACACAGGACAACUAGACUGAGAACCAAUGGCUCCAGUCUGCUUUAAACAUGGGUCUGUGCUCACAAGUCCUACGUGAGUAAUAUUCCAAAUUAUACUGUCUUCUUUUGAUCAGUGGUAUGCUCUAUGUUAUUAUAGAGUAUACAAUGUACUGAGACAAGGAUGCCAGUCAUUCUGUCCAAGAAAAUGCAACCAUACUUUGUCAUUUUGUUGACAAUUGGAUGCAUUCAUUAUUGGACUAGAAUAUAGUAUAACACGGGCCAAUGAUGACAAGGUUUCGGGAUUAUAAGUCACAGACGAUGACUGAAGUUGCAGAGAUCUGAGGUCCACAGCGUAACAUGCCACAUGUGACCCUCUCAUGGAGUGGUUGCUAGUCAGGCGUGUUGCAGCACACAUUAAACAUUAGCGAUUCACUCUCAUCAUUUCAGAGUGGAUCAUUGAAUCAAGACAUAAAUCUACAUGCACAUAAAUCAUUUAAAAUUCAUGGCCUAAGUCUUUUUGACGGUCAAGGCCUUGAUUUUCAAAAUUAUCAAAUUUCUUUUCUUUCUUUUUUUUUUUUUUAACUUGAUUUCUUAAGAAAUCUAUCACAACAAUUUGACUCUUAAACAGUGAAAGGUGAAAUGUAAACAAUAAAUGGACAGGUAUCAAUCUUUUUAUUAUCUCUGCUGUUUUGUACUCCCUGGAUGAGUGCUGACACAUGAUUUCCUGCCUGGGAGGUCCAUGGUUGACCUGUCACCACGUGGAUGGAGCUCAACAAGUGAUAAUGCAUUCUGCCACCAAGAUGAUGUUCACGCUAUCGUUUGAUCAUGAGCCCCAUAAUAAACUGUUUCAGAUUGUAAUAUAGACACAGUAAUGUAUACUCCAAGCUGAUUGACAUAUUCUUCCUUAGUCUUGAAGUUUGAGAUUCCCUGUUUGUGUCUGCAGGAUUGGCAUAGUAAUGGCCAUCCUGCAAGCUGACUUCAUAAAGUCUCACCUGAAAAUCAACCUCGUGAUCUAGCCUUUGUGUUCGUGCAUAGACACUGUGAUGGAUUCCCUCCAAGUUGAUUUAGAAAUUCUCUCUUGGUCAUAAUUGUCAUGGUCAACUCUAGAUUCUUUGUAGAUAGCAGAACGGAUACCCCUAAGCUGAUGUAUAUAUUCUCUUCCUUGGUUGCGAGAUUCCAGCUCUGGUCGUUGUAGUCCUAAGAUAGACGUAGUUGUGUAGUCAGUGUUCACACCUUGGUUGUGGGUACUUUGAAAGACUACACACACUACUGUUGAAGUACCACCUUAUCCGAGUGGAUGGAUGCCCUCUAUGGGAUUUGCACACUCUCCAUUGCUCCUGUGCUGUCACCAGCACUUCAGGCUUAUUAUGUAUACACAGUAAUGGAUUUUCCCCAUUCUGUAUUCUUCGGGUGAGCACGGAAACAGAUGCCUUCCUCACUGGUCAUCAGGUUCAUGGUCCCUCGUAUGUGUCAGGAGCAUAUAGUCACCAACCAUAGAUGCUUUCCUGGAGAUAUUCAUAUUCUGGUUCCUGAGAACACAGAGACUGAUAAAGACCAACUUAAUGUCAAUGGGGGAUCCUGUCCCAUCCUAAGCUCUAAGGUUGCUUGCGUCACAGCUACAACCGGCUCAGGGAACCCUAUGGAAGAGGAGGUGGAAGCAGUGUAAGACAGCCAAUUGCAAUGGAAGACAUGGAGGAAACUAGGCCUUCUGGACACAAGAGGACCGAUGUACAUAUGAACUCACAGAGACUGAGGCAGCAGGCACAGGACCUGCACAGGUCUAAGCCACAUGGGCUGACAGCACUGAGAGGAGAACUGGACACAAUUCUAUAUUCAUAACCCAGAAGCUUUCUCCAGUUGAUAAACUCUGUCAAAGGAAAAACCAGUUUUCUCCAAUGGAGUCUCGCUGGACAUAUAAACCACCCUUAAGAACAGGGGCUCCAUGGCCCAGAUGGCCAACACAUGAUGAACUCAAUGGCAUUUUUGGAGGGUUUUGUGACUCACGAUGCAUUGUCUGGGUACUUUUUUUUUACACUAUAUAUUAUGGUUUCUGAUUGUAUUUUUUAAAUUUUCUCCACGUCUAAAUAUAUGUCUCAGUAUCUGUAUGUAAUUUUUCUUUAGCUAUAUUUUUUUCCUAUUCUGCUUUGCUUGUUUUUUCUUAAUUGGUUAUUUUAUUUAUUUACAUUUCAAAUGUUAUGCCCUUUCCCAAGUUUACCCUCCAGAAACCCCCUAUCCAAUUCUCUUUACCCCUGAUUCUCUCUCUAAUGGUGCUCACCCACCCACCAACCCACUCCUGCCCCACUGCCCUAGUUUUCCCCUAGAUGGGGGCAUCGAGCCUUCACAGGACCAAGGGCCUCUCCUCCCAUUGAUGCCUGACAGGGCAGUCCUCUGCUACAUAUGCGGCUAGAGCCAUGGUUUUCUCCAUGUAUACUCUUUGUUUGAUAGUUUAGUCUUUGGGGUCUCUGGGUUGGGGGAGGGUAAACCCUUGUUCAUCCUAUGGGGUUGGAAACCCCUUCAGCUCCUUCAGUCCUUUCAAGAACUCCUCCAUCGUGUUUCCUGUUUUCAGUCCUUUGAUUGACUUGGAGCAUCCUCUCUGUAUUAGUCAGGCCUCACAGAAAAAGCUAUAUCAGGCUCCUGUCAACUUUCCUUGUUUGUAUCUCCUUCUCCUCCUCCUUAUUUUAGAUGUCUGUUUUUACUCUCAUGUAAGAAUGAGUGAAUUGGUGUGGAUUUGGGUGGGUGGGGAAAUGGGGAGCAUGGGAGGUGUUGGGAGGGAAAUCUAUAAUGUAAAUAUAUUGUAUAAAAUACAUUUGAAUAAAAAAGUAUUUCCUCUAUGACCAAAAAAAUUGUGAAGUAGAAUUAUUGAAAGAGAGCGGAAGGAUCAAUGGAAAAUAUAAAUCAAUAGGUGGGUGAGUGGGUGCUUGUGAGAUAAAAGAUAUUGAGAAUAGAGAAGACAGCGUGGGAUGGGGUGGAUUUGACCCAAACACGUUAUGUGCAUGUGUGAAUGUUUAAUAACCAAUUUGCAAAGAAAUGUAGCACUAAUUGUUUUACUAU